UACAGAGGUCCCAAGCGUUGUCCGGAUUUAUUGGGCGUAAAGAGCUCGUAGGCGGUCUGUUGCGUCAGCUGUGAAAACCCAGGGCUCAACCCUGGGCCUGCAUUCGAUACGGGCAGACUAGAGUUCGGUAGGGGAGACUGGAAUUCCUGGUGUAGCGGUGAAAUGCGCAGAUAUCAGGGAGGAACGACCGGUGGCGGAAGGCGGGGUCUCUGGG
rnacentral:rRNA from 1 species